UAUAGAAAUGACAGCUUAAGCCAACAAUAGAAUAUAGCUAUAAAAUAAAACAUUUACUAGGUAUAGUACGGGCGAUAGAAAAAUCAUUAAAAGCAAUAUAAACAGUACUGCAAAGGAAAGCUGAAAUACAAAUGAAAUAAGGAUUAAAUACAAAAAAGCAAGGACCCCACCCUUUACCUUUUGCAUAAUGGUCCAGCAAGUCCAAAAUAACAAGACGACCCUAAGUUACCACCCCCGAAACCGGACGAGCUACUCUAGAACAGCUAAUCGAGCCAACCCGUCUCUGUGGCAAAAGAGUGGGAAGAUUCCUGAGUAGAGGUGACAAGCCAACCGAGCCCGGUAAUAGCUGGUUAUUCGAGAAAUGAAUUUUAGUUCAACUUAAAAUGCAAAAACUACAAAAAGAAAAUUCUCAUUUUAAGUAUAAUUAAUAGGGGUACAGCUCUAUUAAUAAAGGAAACAGCCUAAAAAAAUGAAUAAAGAUCAUACUUAAUAAAGAAAUUAAAUAAGUGGGCCUAAAAGCAGCCACCUUUAAUAAAAGCGUCAAAGCCUAAUUCAACAAGCCUGACAAUUUAAAUAUAUACUCUGAAUUCACUAAAACUAUCGAAUUAAUCUAUCUUAUAGAUAAAUUAAUGCUGAAAUGAGUAGCAAGAAACGAUUCUACUAAUGCACGUGUAAAUCAGAACGAAACAACACUGAUAAAUAACGGACUAACAAACAGAAACAUAUUAAACACAAGACAAGUAUAUAUAAUUAAACCGUUAACCCGACACAGGGGCAUAGAAUAUGAUUAAAAGCUUAAAAAGGAACUCGGCAACCACGGACUUCGCCUGUUUACCAAAAACAUCGCCUCUAGCAUCAUCAGUAUUAGAGGUACUGCCUGCCCAGUGACAACAGUUUAACGGCCGCGGUAUAAUGACCGUGCAAAGGUAGCGUAAUCACUUGUCUUUUAAAUAAGGACCAGUAUGAAUGGCAAAACGAGAGUCCAACUGUCUCUUUAAGCCGAUCUGCGAAAUUGAUCUCCUCGUGCAGAAGCGAGAUAAAGUAAAUAAGACGAGAAGACCCUAUGGAGCUUAAGACUCUAAUUUAAUUAUAGUAAUAAACAUAAAACAUAUAAUAUAACGAAACUCUUGGGUUGGGGCGACCGCGGAACAGACACACCUUCCGAGAAAAAUCUCAUAUAAAAACAAUUAAAAGAGACAAGACACUUACAACAUGAUCCAUUAUUUGAUCAACGGACCAAGUUACCCUAGGGAUAACAGCGCAAUCCUCUCCAAGAGUCCAUAUCGACGAGUGGGUUUACGACCUCGAUGUUGGAUCAGGGUACCCCAGUGGUGCAGCCGCUACUAAAGGUUGUU
rnacentral:rRNA from 1 species